UACGUAGGGGGCAAGCGUUGUCCGGAAUCAUUGGGCGUAAAGCGCGUGUAGGCGGUUCGGUAAGUCUGCUGUGAAAGUCCAGGGCUCAACCCUGGGAUGCCGGUGGAUACUGUCGGACUAGAGUACGGAAGAGGCGAGUGGAAUUCCCGGUGUAGCGGUGAGAUGCGUAGAGAUCCGGAGGAACACCGACGGCGUAGGCAGCGCCCUGGACGACACCUGACGCUGAGACGCGAAAGCGUGGGGAGCAAACAGG
rnacentral:rRNA from 1 species